rnacentral:sRNA from 1 species
AGCGAAGCGAGAGAACGUUGCCGCAGGCAACGGCCCGAAGGGCGAGGCGCUUUAGCGCCGAGUAAUCCUUCCCCCACCACCA